UCUUAUUAAAAGCAUAAAAAAAAAACCCUAGCCCCUCCUCAUUCUCUCAAUCUGUUCGAUCAAAUCUGCUAAGUAUCCCUCCCCUCACCAACGCUGACCUCCAUUAACAUCUAUGGCCGACGGCAGCAGGCUAUCACAAACGACGACGGGUGAGCUCUUAUCCCCUCGACCCCGGCAAUCUGAUCUGCUAAGUGUGUUGCUAGUUAUCCCCUCUCCUAACCGCGUCGACAUCCGAUCCCAUCUACGGUCAACGGCGAAAACUACAUCAACUGACGGUGACUUGGGCGAGCUCCUCUCCCCUCGACCCGGCGAUUGCAAUAGCUCCGGCGCAGUUCCACUUGACUACGACGCAAAUCUUCAAUAUUAGCUAAUAUUUAGCUUAAUAUGCUUAAAAAUUAACUAAUGUUCACAUAAGAGAUUAUGGUUUAUAUAUGGAUUUCUUGCAGGUGGUGGAAGAAUGGUAUACAGAAGUGUUGUGGGGUACUCACACAUACAAAGACUAGGUUUGGGAUCCCCUGUAUUCCAGUGUCCUCUAAUGGCUUGAGUGUGAAUCAAGCUAGGGGUGGAGGAAACCAUUAUGGAUUUGAGAAAGGGAUAAGAGGAAGACGGAAGCGCAUCUGAGAUGACCUUGUAGAGAAGGUGAAGAAGCAGCAACCAAGGGAGACUUGCAAUAGUGAUAUCAUGACAAGGAAGGUUUUGGCUAUAUAUGAUAGGUAGCUGCAAGAUUAUAUUUCCCUUGCAUAUUGUCUGUGUUGCAAGUCCUCGAGCAGCACAAGUUUGAAAGGAUUCAGGAUUCAUUAUUUGCUUGCAUUUGAUGCGGUAGUCAUUUCCUUAGAGUUCCAAUCCUAGGCAAGGAAGAGUGGAAGACAUGUAGGGUGCAAAGAAAGAGUGGAACACCCUUAUGUAGUUGAAUUCAAAGAAGCAUGGGUGGAAAGGGUUGCUAUGUUUGCCUUGUUAUUAUUUUUCAUAUUUCCAAGGGUUCUCUACUGAUGAUGGGGGUUAAACAGAGGACAGCAUUUGCUUUAAAAUGCUUGCAUGAUCGUACUAACUUCUAGCCGUAGCUUUUAAUCGCAUAGCCUGGACUGCUCGUAGUAGCGGAAGCAGAACACCUCUUCAACAGUAGGCCGUCAACCAUCUUUGGCUCUGGCUCAUACUUGACUCAGAACCGCAGAUGGUGUACUUGGUAUUUCUGAGGAGUAUGAGUACCAUGUCUGUAGGCAUUAUAUGAUUGUAUGUCCUGCAUCCCAUCACUGCAGGCUUAUAUAGGCAUAAUGAUGGAUUGGACUAAACCCAGAUGUCCAAUCCAACAUAUAGCUUAAUGGGCCUAAUCCACUUGCACCACAUUAUUAAGGCUCACAAUAUAUAAUGUAUAUUGUAUUGGGAAAAGUCUUACAGUCUCCCACUUGGUGCAAGUACUAGCACAACUCUCAUCAAAGAACAAAACACACGAAUUAUAGCGAUAUGUCCUCUGCUCGACAGAGUAAUAUCUUCUAUGCAUCACAUGCAUUUUUAUUUCCCAACUUAAGUCCUUUAUGAAAAAACCUAAUGUUUA